CUCGUUUACACUACUCGAGCAAUCUCUACUGGUUUACACCCUGCGCGAAAAUAUCGCCUAUACUUUCCCAUCCCCUCUCUCGGGCCCGAAACCCCAUCCAUUUUAUAGUCGCAGCGGUGAAGUCGCCAUUGUAGCUCGGCAACGAGGGGAUCGCAUCGCGGUCUGCGAAGACAUUCGAAACUCCACUCUUUAUCCGCCUUCGCUCUGCUCCUAACCGAAAACCGAAUCCAUUGAGGAAGGUUGGUGGAAGAUCAAAUUCUUUUGGAAGGUGAUUUUUUUUAAGAAGCUUUGAUGGCUCAUACAACUACUGAAAAGAGAACAUCUGUGUAUAUUUACAUCCCAAAUAUUCUUGGUUAUCUGAGAGUUCUGCUCAAUAUUGUUGCAUUCGCUCUGUGCUUUUCCAGUAAAUUUUGGUUUGCAAGUCUUUACUUCAUUAGCUUUGUUUGUGAUGGAGUAGAUGGUUGGCUUGCACGGAAGUUUAAUCAAGUAUCAACCUUUGGGGCAGUUCUGGACAUGGUAACAGACAGAGUGAGCACGGCUUGUUUAUUGGCAAUCCUCUCUCAACUUUACAGACCUGGCUUGAUCUUUUUAGCAUUGCUUGGAUUAGAUAUUGCAAGCCACUGGCUGCAAAUGUAUAGUACUUUCUUGAGUGGCAAGAGCAGCCACAAAGAUGUCAAGGACAAAAGUAGUUGGCUUUUAAGGGCAUAUUAUCAGCAUCGUUAUUUCAUGGCGUUCUGCUGUGUUGGAUCUGAGGUUCUUUACAUCAUUCUUUUUUUAAUUCAUCAAAAGCACGAUGAAAGUUUAAUCUCUGUCUGUGUGAAUGCUACAAAAAAUAGCUUAACCCUUUCAGUACUAUUCACUUUAGCAUUUAUUGGAUGGGGAAUUAAACAAAUUGUGAAUAUCAUUCAGCUAAACUUUCAUAGUUAACUUGCACAUCACUCAAGUCGAAUUCAAAGACCAAUGCACUAUAAAUAAGAAGAUCCAAAGCAAUAAUCAGAAAAACGAUGUAUAACUCAAGUCGAAUUCAAAGACCAAAGCAAUAAUCAGGCAGUGCCUCAUAAAGCCAUCAGGCAGUGAAGUAUCAGAUGAAGACAGCUGCUGAUGCGUGCGUGAUAUAUGAUAUGAAGGAAAGGUGAAGAAGCCAUGAUCCUCCUCAAAAUGGCUGAUUUUAGUAGUUUGUAGGAUAAAACUUAUCCCAUGAAGAAUAUUUUAGUCGAUUUGAGGGAUUUCUGCUUUCUAUUAAAUGAUACGCUGACAAUGAAGGAAAUUUACAUCUGCAGUUCGCAAUUCUUAUUGUAAAAUUGAAAUUGCACUACUAACAUUUUAGAAGUGAAAUACUCCUUUUUUUUGA